CAUGUAGGCGGCUUAAUAAGUCGAGCGUGAAAAUGCGGGGCUCAACCCCGUAUGGCGCUGGAAACUGUUAGGCUUGAGUGCAGGAGAGGAAAGCGGAAUUCCUAGUGUAGCGGUGAAAUGCGUAGAUAUUAGGAGGAACACCAGUGGCGAAGGCGGCUUUCUGGACUGUAACUGACACUGAGGCUCGAAAGCCAGGGGAGCGAACG
rnacentral:rRNA from 1 species